UGAUAGGCAGCUGCAGGUGCCUCUG
rnacentral:piRNA from 1 species